UACGAAGGGGGCUAGCGUUGUUCGGAAUCACUGGGCGUAAAGCGCACGUAGGCGGAUUGUUAAGUCGGGGGUGAAAUCCUGAGGCUCAACCUCAGAACUGCCUUCGAUACUGGCAAUCUCGAGUCCGGAAGAGGUUGGUGGAACAGCUAGUGUAGAGGUGAAAUUCGUAGAUAUUAGCUAGAACACCAGUGGCGAAGGCGGCCAACUGGUCCGGUACUGACGCUGAGGUGCGAAAGCGUGGGAAGCAAACAGG
rnacentral:rRNA from 1 species